CAUGUCUUUUUGAAUAUGAUUUAAGGUUUAAUCUGCUCAAUGAGGUUUUAAAUGGCUGCGGUAUUUUGACCGUACAAAGGUAGCGUGAUAAUUAGUUUUUUUAUUGAAAGCUGGUAUGAAUGAUUGGACGAGAGAUAAACUGUCUCAAUAUAAUUAAUUAGAAUUUAACUUUUAAGUUAAAGGGCUUAAAUUAAAAUGAAAGACGAGAAGACCCUAAAGAGUUUAACUUAAAUAAUAUUUUUACUUUAUUGAUAUUUUUGAUUUAAAUUUUAUUUUUGUUUGAUUGGGGUGAUUAAAAGAUUUAUUUAACUCUUUUUAAUUUAUACAAUGAUUUUUGAUUAGUUGAUCUGUAUUUUACAAAUUUAAGAAAUAAAUUACCUUAGGGAUAACAGCGUAAUUUUCUUUGGAGUUCUUAUUUAAAAGAGAGUUUACGACCUCGAUGUUGGAUUAAAAUUUAUAUUUGGUGAAGUAGCUGAAUAAUUAAGUCUGUUCGACUUUUAAAAUUUUACAUGAUCUGAGU
rnacentral:rRNA from 1 species